UCUGGUUGGACCUACCAGUAGUUAUAUGCUUGUCUCAAAAAUUAAGCCAUGCAUGUCUAAGUACACACGAAUUAAAAGUGAAACCGCAAAAGGCUCAUUAUAUCAGUUAUGGUUCCUUAGAUCGUUAACAGUUACUUGGAUAACUGUGGUAAUUCUAAAGCUAAUACAUGCAAUUAAAACACGGACCUUCUGGGACGUGUGCUUUUAAGACCAAAACCAAGCGAUCAAUUGAUCGUUAUAUUGGUUGAACUCUAGAUAACAUGCAGAUCGUAUGGUCUUGUACCGACGACAGAUCUUUCAAAUGUCUGCCCUAUCAACUUUUGAUGGUAGUAUCUAGGACUACCAUGGUUGCAACAUCUAAGGAAGGCAGCAGGCGCGUAAAUUACCCACUCCCAGCUCGGAGAGGUAGUGACGAAAAAUAACAAUACAGGACUCAUAUCCGACGCACUGUAAUUGAAUUGAGUACACUUUAAAUCCUUUAACAAGGACCAAUUGGAGGGCAAAUCUGGUGCCAGCAGCCUCGGUAAUUCCAGCUCCAAUAGCGUAUAUUAAAGUUAUUGCGGUUAACACGUUCGUAGUUGAACUUGUAGUACAACAUACAUUUGUAGUUAGUCUAUACCUUUAUGGAUGUAAGCGUAUUUUCGGUAGAGUUCUUAUAUGUAAUUAAGUACUUGUACUUUUUUAUAUAUUCCUCAUAUUUAAAAACCUACAUAAGUGCUCUUAAUCGAGUGUUUUUGUGGGCCGGUACAAUUACUUUGAACAAAUUAGAGUGCUUAAAGCAGGCUUUAAAUGCCUGAAUAUUCUGUGCAUGGGAUAAUGAAAUAAGAUCUCUGUUCUGCUUUCAUUGGUUUUCAGAUCAAGAGGUAAUGAUUAAUAGAAGGAGUUUGGGGGCAUUAGUAUUACGACGCGAGAGGUGAAAUUCUUGGACCGUCGUAAGACUAACUUAAGCGAAAGCAUUUGCCAAAGAUGUAUUCAUUAAUCAAGAAGGAAAGUUAGAGGUUCGAAGGCGUUCAGAUACCGCCCUAGUUCUAACCAUAAACGAUGCCAGCUAGCAAUUGGGUGUCGCUACUUUUAUGGCUCUCUCAGUCGCUUCCCGGGAAACCAAAGCUUUUGGGCUCCGGGGGAAGUAUGUGUAAUAGGUUCGAUGUAGAAUCCUUUGAGAUGUAGUAUUUUGGUUAUAAUAAAAUAAGACACAGCAGGUCUUGUCGCUUUGAGUAUGGUUUAUUGAAUAAUUCUUAAUUCUAUUACAAUUGUUCUCUAUAGCUAAAACCGCGUAGCUGCGCUGCUGGCAAUGCAGGCAGAGGAGCGGUAUGCUUAUGUAUAAACAUAUUUAUGUAUAAAUGUAUGAAUGUAUGAAUGUAUGAAUGUAUAAAUGUAUAAAUGUAUAAUGCUUACAUAAGAGUAUGUAUGUGUAUAUGUCGCUACAGCGAGAGAGUGAGGAUGUAUCAUAUUGCAUAUUGGGCCAGAGUGGCCGCGCGUGUUAUAUUUGCCGACACAGCAAUUUUCCAGCACCAUACACUCAUGGGUGGUUAUGUUGCUUAAGAGGCAAAUGUACUUGAC
rnacentral:rRNA from 1 species